CCUACGGGUGGCAGCAGUGAGGAAUAUUGGUCAAUGGGCGGAAGCCUGAACCAGCCAAGUAGCGUGCAGGAUGACGGCCCUACGGGUUGUAAACUGCUUUUAUACGGGAAUAACGCGCCUUACGUGUAGGGCUUUGCAUGUACCGUAUGAAUAAGGACCGGCUAAUUCCGUGCCAGCAGCCGCGGUAAUACGGGAGGUCCGGGCGUUAUCAGGAUUUAUUGGGGUUAAAGGGAGCGUAGGCCGCAUGUCAAGCGUGCGGUGAAAUGUCCGGGCUCAACCCGGGGCUUGCAGCGCGAACUGGGGUGCUUGAGUCCGCGGAAAGCAGGCGGAAUUCGUCGUGUAGCGGUGAAAUGCUUAGAUAUGACGAAGAACCCCGAUUGCGAAGGCAGCUUGCUGCAGCGGAACUGACGCUGAUGCUCGAAAGCGCGGGUAUCGAACAGGAUUAGAUACCCCAGUAGUC
rnacentral:rRNA from 1 species